AUGGAUGCAGAUUUCAACCUUAGAUACAAUUUUGAGCAACACUUGGAAAAUUCUAAUGAGGAUCCACCUGAAAAUGAUUUAGAGAUUCUCGCAUCUCUUUUUGCUGAAGAAAUGACUGUAGAGGAGGUUACAGAGGUAGUUCUGCAAGAUGCAUGUGCAUCUGUGUCUACCAGAGAUGCUGAGAGAGAGAUGCAGCAAACUUUUUCAAGAGAAAGGGAGGAGAAUUUCUGUGCUCCUCAACUUAAAAGGUUUAAAAUUGUUUCUGAUGAAGAAUUGCAGGAGUUAAAGGAGAGGAGACAUUCCCUAUCUACACUAAAGGCUACAAAAUGGGGAGUGAAGACUUUCCAAGACGUACCGUUCGCCACUGCAAGUAAUUUCAACGUGCCAUCUUUAUCCAGCCAUUCUGUUCUUCCAUCUCGCAUUCAACCGUCUGCCGAUCUUCAGAUAGAGUCAUCUGUAUCCAUGCAGUGCUCGCAAUUCCAGUCUUCUGGGUUCAUGGCAAAUUCCACAUUUAAUAACUGCACCUUUAACUUCAAACCGUAACUCACCCACAUGUUUGAAAAAAAAACAACAUGGCUGCUCUAAGCCUAUGUAUCAGUGUAUCAGUUUCUAGAUCCC
rnacentral:sRNA from 1 species